UACGUAGGGUGCAAGCGUUGUCCGGAAUUAUUGGGCGUAAAGGGCUCGUAGGCGGUCUGUCGCGUCGGGAGUGAAAACUCAGGGCUUAACCCUGAGUCUGCUUCCGAUACGGGCAGACUAGAGGUAUGCAGGGGAGAAUGGAAUUCCUGGUGUAGCGGUGAAAUGCGCAGAUAUCAGGAGGAACACCAGUGGCGAAGGCGGUUCUCUGGGCAUUACCUGACGCUGAGGAGCGAAAGUGUGGGGAGCGAACAGG
rnacentral:rRNA from 1 species